GAUGAACGCUGGCGGCGUGCUUAACACAUGCAAGUCGAACGGAGUGCCUUUGAAAGAGGAUUCGUCCAAUUGAUAAGGUUACUUAGUGGCGGACGGGUGAGUAACGCGUGAGGAACCUGCCUUGGAGUGGGGAAGUAACACAGUGAAAAUUAGUGCUAAUACCGCAUAAUGUCGAGUUGGCCGCAUGGCUCUGACUGCCAAAGAUUUAUCGCUCUGAGAUGGCCUCG
rnacentral:rRNA from 1 species